UACAGGCGUCAGCCACCGCGCCCGGCCUAUAAUUUUUUUUUUUAACUCCUUCACUGUUGUUGGCAGAAUUUAGUUUCUUCCUGUUACAAGGAUUGAGGUCGCCAUUUCCUUGCUGGUAGUCACCUGAGGACUGUUCCCAGAUUCUAGAGACUGCCUGCAUACCUUGGCUUAUCACCUUCCACUGCCUGCAUACCUUGGCUUAUGCCCUUUCUCCUGCAUCUUCCAAGCCAGCAAUGGUAGGACCAUUCGGUAUUCUUGAGAAACACUGGCUAAUCUUCUAGUCGACAAAGUCACACCCAAGGAAAGCACCAAACUUCUCUGAGGUCAAUAUUAUGUUGGAUUGUGCAGAGCCUGUUCCAUAAAGAUCUUUAUGUGCCCAACAAGCUGCAGACAACUUCUUGCAGCUCUGCAUGUGGGAGAAUAGGAAAUGGAAACUGAUAUCCACAUAUAAAGAUGAUGCAGGAAGAGGUAACCAUCCAUCACGGUUUUCCCAGAACAGGCUGAUUUGCGUCUUCUGUCCUGGCAUAAGGAUCCCUUCACUCUCGGAAGUGUUCCGGUUGGUAUGAUAAAUUACAUAAUCACUCUGAUUCAGUUUACAUAAGGAUCCCAAGUAUCACUAUUAUGCCUGCUUGGUUAUGAUGGAGUUGAAUUUUAGUAAAUUUGUAAUUUUUCUAAGUGCCUGUGGAGUGACUCACUGGAGUCUGAGGAAUGAGAUCAUCUUCCUGCAAUGAAUGAUAGUCUUGCUGAAGUCUCUACUAUUCCUGCUGGCUUCUUUUCUGCUAUAAAAUAUUUCUUCCUACAAAACGUUUCUUCUUGAGUCAGUUUUAUGGUUGAGGACACUGUCCAAGCUCAUGCCUUAGCUCCACAACUGGAAAGGAAAAUAUUCUUUCACCUCCCCUGCCAUUGCCAGUUUGAAAACAAUUGUAGGACUAGGUUCUGAUUGUUCUGGCUUAGAUCACAUGCCAAUUCCAAAGACAGUGGUCAGCGAGGUGCAGUCCCCACAUGGGCUUAGGUCAGGUGUUCACCUCUUGGCUGUUCAUUCUGCCCAGAGCAGUGAGGUCAAGUAGGAGAAUGGUAUCCCAACUUCAGACUAUGUGGAUCAAAGAGGAAAAGAAAUUUUCCUCCAAGAUUAGCAAGAUAUUAGCAAGGCUGGGCGUAGGCUGACCUGGUGGGAUGGCAGACUGGGCUGCUGGAGGAAUAGUGAUCUGUGCAGCCACUGUGAUUUGUCUUCUAUGAAGAGAUCAGUACACUGCCAAAUGCCAUAGCUAGUAAAGAAUACAGCCAGAAUUCAAUCCUAUAUCUUUUUUUUUAACCAGCAUGCCUUUAUUCUUAAGUUCCUUAUGCACAGUGUUUAGUUGUGAAAAAAUGGAAAAUAAAUGCCUGCCAAUAUAGCCUCUGAA
rnacentral:lncRNA from 1 species